AAGAAGAAGAAGAAGCGGCGCGAAGUCAGCGCGUGUGCCUUUCCAGUUACAUUUACCAUUUACCAUUCACCGUUUACAUUUACUGAGUUUGCCUGUCUGCCAGUGGCUUCCAGAGCUCGUUAUCUCGCUCGCUCGCCCGCCCUCGCUGUCACUCUCGCUAUUGCUCUGUCCCUCUCCGUGUCCCCUUUCUCGAACUGCCAAUUGCCUAAUGUGGAUUGCAGAUUGUCGCCUGGCGUCCGAGUUCUGAGCAACCAGUGGGAGAGUGGAUGCGGCGGCCAUCGCAAUUUUCGCUUCCUUAACGUUCCUCAGACACUGCGUGUUGUGGAUCGUCACUCAGUGCUUUUCAUCGUCAUCGCCAUUGACAUCGUCAUCGCUAUCGUCAUCGCCAUCGUCAUCAAUUGCGUCCGUUACUGUGGCAUUAACAGCUUCAAUUGCGGGUGUUUGGGCCAUUGGGUCGGUAACAUCAUCAAAAUAUCUUCAUUCGAAGAGGAUUAUCGGGCUGACAGGCCCAUGGUGCAGCGAGCAUCCUCCUCAGAUGCUCCCUCCAUUCAGGGUGGCCAACAUCGAGAAUCUCGAUUUGGCCUUGGAUAUACAUCAUACCAAAGCGGAUACAAUAAGCUAUUCACACAGGGUUCUGCCGACUCGAACUACUCACAACCGUCAUCCGAUCUGUCGCUAGACGAGGAAAAGGAAUCGCUUCGGCGAGAAAAGGAACGUCAGGCCUUAAGCCAGUUGGAUAAAGCGAGGAGUAAACCUGUAGCGUUCGCUGUGCGAACCAACGUAGCAUAUGAUGGCACAAUCGACGACGAUUCGCCCGUGCAGGGCGGUGCAGUUUCAUUUGAGAUCCGGGAGUUUUUGCACAUCAAGGAGAAGUAUGACAAUAACUGGUGGAUCGGCAGACUGGUUAAGGAAGGCUGUGAUGUGGGCUUCAUACCCAGCCCCGCUAAGCUAGACAACAUUCGUAUGCAGAAUCAAACUAGACCCUCAAGACUGUACGGCACAAAGGGCUCCUCAAGCGGCAAUCUAGGUGCGGGACAAGCAGGUGCGGAGCCAUCACGAGGUAGCACACCCCCCACACCUGAUUCCAUGGGACCAGGACGUCAUGGCAAGACACCGUUAGCAACGCCGCCCAACAAGGAGAAGCGCAAGCCAUUUUUCAAGAAACAGGAGACAGCCAGCCCGUACGAUGUGGUGCCAUCGAUGCGUCCUGUUGUUUUAGUGGGUCCAAGCCUUAAGGGUUACGAGGUAACCGACAUGAUGCAAAAGGCGCUGUUUGAUUUCCUCAAGCAUCGCUUCGAAGGACGCAUCAUCAUCACGCGCGUCAUGGCCGAUAUAUCACUAGCGAAACGCUCGAUCAUGAACAAUCCAUCAAAGCGUGCCAUCAUGGAGCGUUCCAGCAGUCGGUCGGAUUGUCUGGGCAAGGUCCAAGAGGAGAUCGAGCGCAUCUUUGAGCUGGCCCGUUCCCUGCAGCUGGUCGUACUCGAUUGUGAUACAAUCAAUCAUCCGUCACAAUUAGCAAAAACUUCAUUAGCGCCAACAAUAGUUUACUUAAAGAUUAGUAGUAGUAAGGUUUUACAGCGUUUAAUCAAAUCACGUGGCAAAUCACAAGCUAAAAACUUAUCCGUACAAAUGGUUGCCGCUGAAAAAUUAGCCCAAUGUCCACCCGAAAUGUUCGAUGUAAUUUUAGACGAGAACCAAUUGGAAGAUGCCUGCGAGCACAUAGCUGAAUACUUGGAGACAUAUUGGAAAGCCACGCAUCCAGAUAUACGCGCUGGGUCCACCGUACCGGCCAUUGCCAGGCCGAUACCGUCCCAGGAGGUGUCGGCAUCGCCCUCUGCCGAUCCAGCGCGCUUGGGUCCAACACCACCAGUUACUCCUGGCGUCGUGCGCCUCUAGUGUCCUCUCGUCCUCGUCCUUCUACUCGAUUCCUACAUUGCUCGGGUCCAGUCUGUCAGGCUCAGCAAAUCAACUCAGUUUAAUAUCUUGUGUUUGUUUAAGCUCAAUACUUUUUAUUACCGUUCGUCAUUUCGAGUUAGUUAAAAAACCAAAUCAAAAAAGAAAGAAACAAAAUAAUAUUCGUUAUUUUAGACACACAUAAGGUUGGCUUAGAGGUGCCUCUUAUCAUCACAGUCGUCGUCAGGUCUCUGGGCGACAUCAGGAGCGCGGCAGCGGAGGUGUCGGAG
rnacentral:misc_RNA from 1 species